AGCAGCCGCGGUAAUUCCAGCUCCAAUAGCGUAUAUUAAAGUUGUUGCAGUUAAAAAGCUCGUAGUUGAAUUUCGGGAUCGACGGGUCGGUCGCGCCUCUGGUGUGUACUGGCCCUGUCGGUUUCUCCCUUCUGACGAACCACGAUGUCAUUAAUUUGGUGUCGUGGGAAAUCAGGACUGUUACUUUGAAAAAUUAGAGUGUUUAAAGCAGGCAUUCGCUUGAAUACAUUAGCAUGGAAUAAUGAAAUAGGACGUUUGAUCUUAUUUUGUUGGUUUCUAAGAUCGACGUAAUGAUUAAUAGGGAUAGUUGGGGGCACUAGUAUUCAAUUGUCAGAGGUGAAAUUCUUGGAUUUAUUGAAGACUAACUACUGCGAAAGCAUUUGCCAAGGAUGUUUUCAUUAAUCAAGAACGAAAGUUAGGGGAUCGAAGACGAUCAGAUACCGUCGUAGUCUUAACCAUAAACUAUGCCGACUAGGGAUCGGAUGAUGUUAAUUUUUAANGACUCAUUCGGC
rnacentral:misc_RNA from 1 species